GUCCACGCCGUAAACGAUGAGUGCUAAAUGUCAUAGAUUCGUCUUUGGUGUUUUAGCUAACGCGUUAAGCACUCCGCCUGAGGACUACGAUCGCAAGAUUAAAACUCAAAGGAAUUGACGGGGGCCUACACAAGCGGUGGAGCAUCUGGUUUAAUUCGAUUCUAACCGUAAACCUUACCAGUUCUUGACAUUGCACUUUUGAGACUUGGAAACAAGCUCUUGGUUCGUCCGGGUGCAACAGGGAUGCAUGGCUGUCGU
rnacentral:rRNA from 1 species